rnacentral:rRNA from 1 species
AUGUGUGCGUUCCAAAGCAAGGGGCAGGGAUUCUUCUAUAUUCCUGAUUUUAGCAGUGAUAGGCAAGCUAGGGAGAUGAUUUUUAACGUGAUUGUUACUAUAACUGAGGGGGCUGCUCCGACCAAAGAUAUAGAACAUGAAUUAAGCAUCUAUGUGGGACAGGGGUGGAGAUGUUCUGCUAGAUUUUUCGCACCUCAAAAAUUUGUGAUGAGGAUGCCUAAUCCUAGGGAAGUGGAUCGUGCUCUGUUUGUGGAA